UUUUUCACACGUUGACCUGCCGCAAAUUAGUUAAUCACAGGCUAAUGAGUUUUACAGUGUUGACAAGCAAAAUCUAUGAUCUAAAUGCGUUCAGUUCGAAGUUUUGAUCCAAAAUUAAAUACUGUAAAAGAUACGCAGAUUACAGUUUGAGUGUAAAAUCACCUGCAAACACCGAGACGUAUUGUUGAUUUUCUUACCAAACUUUCAAGAAAUCGACUGACUCCGACCCUCGGCUAUCAAAAGGUAUUUGGUUUCGUUCAAAUUGGAACGUUUUGCGUAAUUCACAGCUGGUAUGACGAUGCAAGGAAUGUUGUGAUCUCAGGCUGACUUCAUUUAUCAUUUAGUGUUGUGUUUCAACGGCACAAACCUUCAACGGGAACUGUUGGGCGGCUUUCAUAUCAACCAUCCCCUUAUUUUGCAAAAGUUUGGGGAUACUGCUUUGAAUUGAAUGCAAGGCGAAUAAAGAAUAAAAAAAGAACAAAAAGUCAGUUAAAGUAAUUACUUGUAGUCGGAGGUGUGGGUCCGCACACAUUGUUCUGUAAUGGAAGGACAACAACAACUUCUUUCAGAAGAAACGACUGGAUAUAAAGGUAUAGAAGCACCCAAUCUAAUUCGAAAAGACAUCACAUCAAAUGAAGUGGAGUCUACAGAACAAGAUGUGAAACUAAAUGAAGAAAAAAAUAUCAUCUUAAAUGGCGAAGAAGCUAGCUCCAGUGAAACAAAACAAGAUGGCGAGAUUCACGUCAAAAUUGAACCUGAAGAUCAUGCACAAGAGGAGAAAAAAUCUAACAA